rnacentral:lncRNA from 1 species
AUGUUUAGUUUUAAAAGUGUUACCAGAUUUUAGAAAUUCUCAAAGUUUUAAUAGAGUUAGAAUUUUCAGAAUAUAUGUAUAAAAGAAAAAUAUAUUUAUUUGCAAAUUAUCUAUUCACUGAGCUAUAAGCUCAUAAAUCUUUUCUCCAUUAUCUUUAUUAGAUAGCAAUCGAAUUGAGCAGUUUUGGAGCCUAUUAAACCACCGAAUUGAGCCACGCUUAGUCGAUUGUAUGAUAUUCUUUAUCAGAUUAUACAGUGGGUGUUCUUUUGGGGUACAUGUAUCUUAAAUCAGAAAAAAGUUCAUCAUGGGCUCAUUACAUAUUUGAUGUAUUUGGUAUAUUUGAGAAUUGUUGGUUGUAAAGUAAGUAAAUAUUGAAUGGCCAACAUUUUAUUUGAAUAGUUGGUAUUCUGAGGAACUAGUGUAUCCUGUUUUAUAUUAUAGGUAUUGAUU